GGGGCCUCGGAGGGACGGUGCUGGCGGCAGGGGCGGCGGGAGGGCCCGGGGCUCGUAGGGUCCGAGGCGGGGCGGGCCGCAGGCAGGGAGAGCGCAGAGCCGGCGCUGGGGGGCGGCAGCGGCCGCACGACCUCUUCGGGGCUGGCUGUGAGGAUUGGAAGCAUCUUUUUUUUUUUUUUCUAAAAAGCUACAACCAUGUGUGCUUUCUGAAAUGUGGUGACAUGUCCACUUCGGUGGGGAAGACGGCGCGGAGCAUGCACCCGGCCCCGGGCGCGCGGGCGGCGGAGCUCCUCCUGCAGGCGUCUCCGCGGGGAGCCGGCGGCACAGACGCCUCGCACUCCUGCCUCAGCGACUGGGCUCCUGCAGGCGGGGAGGUCGCCCCGUUCCUUGCAAAGGGGAGGUCUCACUCUCCUUUGCUCCAGAUGUCCAGCUCCAGGUCUAAAGAUCCCUGCUUUACUGAAAACACUCCUUUGCUGAGGAAUUCCUUCCAGGAGAAAGGGUCACCGCGCAUGCCCGUUUACCAUCCCGAGUUCAUCACCGCUGAAGAGUCUUGGGAGGACAGCUCUGCUGAUUGGGAGCAAAGAUACCUGCUGAGCAGGGAAGGGUCUGGUCUGUCGGCAUCUGCCUCCUCCGAGAAAGGGGACCUUCUGGACAGCUCGCACAUCCGACUCCGUCUUUCCAAGCUGAGGUGCUGUGUGCGGUGGCUGAAAGUCACGGGCCUGUUCGUCUUUGUGGUGCUGUGCUCCAUUUUGUUCAGCCUGUAUCCGGAUCAAGGAAAGCUCUGGCAGCUGUUGGCCGUGUCACCACUGGAGAACUACUCCGUGAACCUCAGCAGCCGCAUGGACUCCACGCUGCUGCAGGUGGACCUGGCGGGGGCACUAGUGGCCAGCAGGCCCAGUCGUCCUGGGAGGGAAGAGCACAUCGUGGUGGAGCUGACCCAGGCAGACGCUUCGGGCUUCAGGCGGUGGCGGCCACAGCAGGUCACUCACAACUGGACAGUGUAUUUAAAUCCGAGGAGAAGUGAGCGCUCGGUGAUGAGCAGGACCUUUGAGGUACUGAGCAGAGAGACGGUGUCCAUCAGCAUCCGGGCCUCCCUCCAGCAGACCCAGGCUGUGCCUCUUUUGAUGGCUCAUCAGUACCUCCCCGCAAGUGUGGAAGCCCAAGUGACCAUUGCAACGGCCAUCCUUGCGGGCGUCUAUGUGCUGAUCAUAUUUGAGAUUGUGCACAGAACUCUGGCCGCCAUGCUGGGUUCCCUUGCGGCACUGGCAGCGCUGGCCGUGAUUGGCGACAGACCCAGCCUGACCCACGUGGUGGAGUGGAUUGAUUUUGAGACGCUGGCCCUGCUGUUCGGCAUGAUGAUCUUAGUAGCCAUAUUUUCAGAAACGGGAUUUUUCGAUUAUUGUGCUGUAAAGGCAUACCAGCUCUCCCGGGGACGGGUGUGGGCCAUGAUCAUCAUGCUAUGUCUCAUCGCGGCUGUCCUCUCUGCCUUCCUGGACAACGUCACCACCAUGCUCCUCUUCACACCUGUGACCAUAAGGUUGUGUGAGGUGCUCAACCUGGAUCCAAGGCAAGUCCUGAUUGCAGAAGUGAUCUUCACAAACAUUGGAGGAGCUGCCACUGCCAUUGGGGACCCUCCAAAUGUCAUUAUUGUUUCCAACCAAGAGCUGAGGAAGAUGGGCCUCGACUUUGCCGGAUUCACUGCACACAUGUUCGUUGGGAUUUGCCUUGUUCUCCUGGUCUCCUUUCCACUCCUCAGGCUCCUUUACUGGAACCGAAAGCUUUAUAACAAGGAACCCAGUGAGAUUGUUGAACUGAAGCACGAGAUUCACGUCUGGCGCCUGACUGCUCAGCGCAUCAGCCCGGCCAGCCGCGAGGAGACUGCCGUGCGCCGCCUGCUGCUGGGGAAGGUGGUGACACUGGAGCACUUGCUCGCCCGGAGGCUGCGCACCUUCCACAGACAGAUCUCACAGGAGGAUAAAAAUUGGGAGACCAAUAUCCAGGAACUACAAAAAAAGCACAGGAUAUCCGACAAGAUUCUGCUCACCAAAUGCCUGACGGUGCUGGGAUUUGUUAUCUUCAUGUUUUUCCUCAAUUCCUUUGUCCCUGGCAUUCAUCUUGAUCUUGGAUGGAUUGCUAUUCUGGGUGCCAUCUGGUUGCUAAUUUUAGCUGACAUUCAUGAUUUUGAGAUAAUUCUACACAGAGUGGAAUGGGCAACCCUUCUGUUCUUUGCAGCACUCUUUGUUCUGAUGGAGGCGUUGGCACAUCUCCACUUAAUAGAAUACGUCGGAGAACAAACUGCCUUGCUAAUAAAGAUGGUCCCGGAGGAGCAGCGCCUCACAGCCGCCAUUGUCCUGGUGGUGUGGGUCUCAGCCCUGGCGUCGUCCCUCAUCGACAACAUCCCCUUCACCGCUACCAUGAUUCCCGUGCUUCUGAACCUCAGCCAGGACCCUGAGGUCGGCCUGCCCGCUCCGCCGCUCAUGUAUGCCCUGGCCUUCGGUGCCUGCCUGGGAGGUAACGGGACACUGAUUGGCGCAUCGGCAAACGUCGUGUGUGCAGGCAUUGCAGAACAGCACGGAUACGGGUUCUCCUUCAUGGAAUUUUUCAGAUUGGGCUUCCCAAUGAUGGUUGUGUCCUGCACCGUUGGGAUGUGUUAUCUCCUUGUGGCUCAUGUGGUGCUGGGAUGGAAUGAAUAGAUAUCCACCUGUCGCUCGAAGACUAAGGUGAAAUUCAUCCAUCACAACCCAUCAGUCAUAAAACUACUCUGACACCACUCUUUGGAGAAGAAAAUGUGCUUACACUGGAGAUGCUACGGAGACACGGUGGAAUAGACCGUGACACAAACACUCUUAUUCUGGCAGAUGCUGCAGUCUCAUGGCCUCCUCUGUGUGUCCUUUCUCCCCAAGGACAAAAUGUGGAACACACAAGAGAAAAUGUGUUUGGUGGAUAACCUGGAAAUGAGGCAAAAUGCGGCCGGCUUUGGGGAAGGUAUUUGAAGUUCCAGAACACCUUCCUGUUACCUUCUGGGGUAAGUAAGUUUCCCCCAUGCCUCUCGUGCAGAGCACAGGACCUGUGUCUUGUGGACCCAGUGGCAGUGAGUUAGACAGAUGGAAAGACUUUCCCUAGAGAAAUAAUGUGGACCUUCAGUCCUGCCAGUGCUGCCUGACAGAGCUCGGUGUGAGAGUGAAAAUCAGAUUAGGCCCAUACUCACCAAUCAAUCAUCAACAUGACAGUGACUGCCAGGGCUUCCCGAUGCAGUGGUGAAUUUCAUCUCAGACAGUCCCACCCACCUGUACACAGGGCUGCCUUGUAUGCGUUCUAAGGCCUAGUGUUCCUUGUGCUUAAAGAGUUCUCGAGAGUUCUUAGGACUUGGAACUUGAGAUGUAGGCAGGACCCGGGGAAUCUGAAUUUGGAAUGUGUCAUUGUGCUGUGAAAUCAUCGUUUUAGUCACUGUUAAAUUCGAGGUCACAUGCGUGGAAAUGUCUGGCAAAUUUUCAUCAAAUUGAGUCUUUCUAUUUCCACUGACCUUGAAAGUUACCCUAAGACUAAACUAAAAUUCGAAGACAGUUUUGAAUUGGCACAGGCAGUGCCUCUCACAUUUUAAUGUACCUGCAAACGUGGACUGACUUCAGUGCACCUGGAUGGGCACAAUCUCAACUUCCAGUGUCAAGCCCUGCCAUGCUUCGGGUCCUCCAGGGAGCAGGCGGUGUGCGUGUGACCUACAGUGAUUUCUGAUGUUAUCUUCUGACAUUGGAACUGCAGAGGUUCCCCCUUUAAUUGUGCGCCCCUGCAUGGCGGGACUUCGCCCACCACAGUCCAUGUUCUCUUCUUCCUGGGCAUGCUGUUUUCCAGCCUCCUCUGCAGUGAGCCAGGGUCACCGUGGCCACGGCUUCCUCCGUUCUGGCUGAUGAAAAGUUGCCAUUUCAGGCCCAGCCCAUACACUCCUUCUGCAUGAAGCCUCUCGUCCACCCUUCCCCAUCUUCUGGACACGGUAAAGAAAGGGAAAGCGGAGCUUCUGCAUGGUGGGUGGGGAUGGGGGGUCUGCGGUAAGUUCUAGACUGUGAGGUGAGAACCCUGAGAUUUCAGAGUUUGUUUGUUGUAUCAGCCUACCCUGGCCAGUACAGCAUACACAGCGGCCAGACGGCUGAAUUUCGGGAUUAUAUUGCUCACCAAGAACACUUCGUAUUUCGAUUUAAUUUCAAGAUGCUUUCUCAAUUACCUAUUUAAUUGAUCUAUUUAAUUGAUUACCUAUUUAAUUGAUUUCUCAAUUACCUAUUUAAUUGAUGGAUGUGUUCCUCUCAUUUGAAGGGGAGGAGCUCAGAUCCACACCUCCCCUGGGCUCCCUCUCUGCUUCCUCCCAGCCCAGUUAGGCCUGUGGUUCCCAAGCGCAUAUUCGUGGGUCCUGCUGCAGCCCUAAUAAAUCUGACUAUUCUGAGUAGCACUCAGGAACCUUACUUUCCUCACAAGUGUCAGGCUUUUCAGCAACCACAUUUUGGAAAUGUUUAGAAAUUAGGCACAAUGGCUGUGUAAUGGAAGGAAAAAAGGGAUGGAAAAUGACUGGCUUUUUAAAGCUUUCUGUUUUUAAGAGGGCUUUUCUUUUAUGGAAAAUUAUUCCCUUCAGCUUUGGAUUUUCUCUCUCGAUUGGUUUACACAAUUAUUUUUCCCCCUUGGGAAAAAAAUGUGUAGGAGUUAAGCUCUUUUACAAUUUAACCUUCCAUCACCAAGUAAUUUGAACAUUUUUCAGAUCUUGCUUUUAAAAUGUCAAAUACUGCUUGUUAGGUCUGGUGUGUUGGAGUGAAAUGAAAUGGAAACCAAGCCUGAAGCAUCCCUGAGUGGACAAAUUGGUCAGGCCUCAUACAUGACCUUAACCUUGCUUGAUUUCAAAAAUACAAGGAAAACUUAACUUGGGCUAGUUCUUGUAAACGCCUGUAUUAAAGAGAAAAGGCAUCUGGCCAGGUGUGGUGCUUUGUCUCUGCAAUCCCAGCACUUUGGAGGCUGAGGCUGGGAGAGUCUCUUGAGGCCAGGAGCUCAGGACCAGCCUGGGCAACAGAGAGGACCUCAUCUCUACAAACAUAAAAACAAAACAAGCAAAAAACCCAGGCCGUGCUAAUUUUACAGGUGUACACCUGUAGUCCCAGCAACUCAGGAGGCUGAUGCCAGAGGAUGGCUUGGGCCCAGGAGCUCGAGGCUUCAGUGAGCUGAAAAGGUGCCACUGCACUCCAGCCUGGGUGACAGAGUGAGGCCCUGUUUCUAAAGGAAAUUAAAAAAUAAUAAAAAAGUGAAACUUAAGCUGAACCCUUAACAAGCAGCAAACCCACUUAUAAUUGUCUUACUAGGGACUUUCCAGCGGGCUAGAGCUAAUCAAACAUUUCCUUUCUUUUACCUCCUGUGGGUCUCAUACAGGCCUCCCCCUUGGGUUCCUAAUGGGACUCCCAAACCACUUCUGCUUCAAAGCUGCCUGAUUCCUGAAUCACUACUCAGAUAAACUCUAAAAUUCUGUGCCUCAGUUUACCUUUCUAACAGGCGUAUGCAGUUGGUUGCUGCUGAUACCCAUGUUUGCCACCUCACCCGUCUGCAGGGUUUUGUGCUCCAUGUUGCAUCAAUAUGGUUUGGAAUAUUGGGCAAGUCUCCAUUUUCUCAUCAACAAAAUUGUGUCACGGUCCUGUCGGUUUUCCGUGUGUCUGUGACGGUGUGGCCUUUAACGUGGGACCAGGCACCUUCUCCAAGAGCCACUACUGGGCCUUCGGGGUGUCCAGCCCCCUUCCAGAAAUACAAACGUGGGAAUCCGAAUACAAAUACUGGGGGCGCGGCGGGGGCAGACGCACGAAGCGGGGCACGGGCCGCCCGUGUCGCCAAGGCACGUCGGGCGCAGGUGCACCCUCAUUUCACUGGGACGCCACGAGCCGCGCAGGGAGCGGGACACACCGGGGGACCCGUCGCGGGACCAGGACACCGGCCAAGUGGAUCAACUUGACCAGAAUGCACGAAUGACCACGGAGUCGCCCAGGGCGGCCCCGAGUCACAACAGCGAGCUCAGGGGCCCUGGGAAGGAGGAAGGCUCCUGCGGACGCCAGAGAGACUCCGGACCAGCUCCCAAGAUGAACCUGGAGGUACAUGGACCAGUGGACGCAGCACGCUGGAUGAGGGUGGCCUGGGUCUGCCAAGGCUAAUCGAGUGGGUGCCCUGAUCUCCAUCAGAGUGGCUGAAUUGCUGCUCUGUGCAGUGGGGGCCUUCACUCAUUCACAAAAUUGAUAAUGAAAAUCCUGCCUGAUCUCCAAAUAGUAACAGCUCUGGAGUGCAGUUCCCAGCGAGAAUGCACAGGAACCUCUCUGAAUAUUUGUGAAAUGACAGUGCUCUGAACUCUAAGGUGGACAGUACAAAUGCAUAUUUACGUCAGAUCAUAUGUAUCUCAAGUCCUUCACUGCUUUUUUAAUACAGAAAUCGCAGAUGAAGUUUCUUACACGACAGUCUAAAGUCGCUCGAAAAGAGUCGCAAGAUCAUGGAGCGGAUUCAAAGCGCUUUUGCCUUGAGAGCACUGAACCGAUAUGGUGAUAAGAGGAGUGGCUGGAGACUAGGUCUAACUCUUCCAGUCUCGAAGGAAAGCACAGAAAAUUCCCAUUUCGGCAGCUGAGAUAAAAACGGUCAAGGAAGAAGGGGUUUUGUGUUCUAGCCCUUUAGACAGAGCGGCCUGCUGCUUCCAGGUCGUGGGGACUGGAGUCAAUGCAGAACGGGUAACUAACUGGCCCCUCUCCUGAGGCUUCCAGAGUGUGGCUGGUUUGCACAGCAGCGAAGUAACGUGCCUGCAAACUCACUCUGACUGCAGCAAGCACUCACCAGCUGAAAUGAUUCGGUGUGAAGGUUCUGCAGAGACACACAUCCCCAGAAGGACUGUGUGGAUGAUGUUUAGAUUGACCCCAACUUCCCCUAUGCUAUUGAGGACAAGCAUUUCCUCAGUUGAAGAACCUGCAAAAUCUUUGUACUUAAUUGAUUUGAUGUAAAGGUAAGGGAAGACUGUUUGGCAUAUGAAGAAAUGAAAUCCUAUUUCCAUCCAUUGGUAAAGAUAAAUAAAGCUGGGCAUGGAAUAGA